UUAGGAUUAGUUGUACAGCCC
ensembl:piRNA 21ur-3805 ncRNA